AUUGAACGCUGGCGGCAUGCCUUACACAUGCAAGUCGAACGGCAGCACGGGGCAACCUGGUGGCGAGUGGCGAACGGGUGAGUAAUGCAUCGGAACGUGCCAUUGAGUGGGGGAUAACGUAGCGAAAGUUGCGCUAAUACCGCAUAUUCUGUGAGCAGGAAAGCAGGGGACCGCAAGGCCUUGCGCUCUUUGAGCGGCCGAUGUCAGAUUAGCUAGUUGGUGAGGUAACGGCUUACCAAGGCGACGAUCUGUAGCGGGUCUGAGAGGAUGAUCCGCCACACUGGAACUGAGACACGGUCCAGACUCCUACGGGAGGCAGCAGUGGGGAAUUUUGGACAAUGGGCGCAAGCCUGAUCCAGCCAUGCCGCGUGAGUGAAGAAGGCCUCGGUUGUAAGUACUCUUUCGGUCCGGGAACGGAAAGUACG
rnacentral:rRNA from 1 species